GUUUCAGGGCGGGGUGGAAGUCCCCACCGGCAGUAUAGUCUGCGAACCCCGAGGGUCUCCCGAGGGGCCGAUCCGGUGUGAUCCCGGUACCGACAGUUAAAGUCUGGAUGGAAGAAA
rnacentral:ncRNA from 1 species